GACGUAGGGCGCGAGCGUUGUCCGGAUUUAUUGGGCGUAAAGAGCUCGUAGGCGGCUUGUCGCGUCGAAUGUGAAAACCCGAGGCUCAACUUCGGGCUUGCAUUCGAUACGGGCAGGCUCGAGUUCGGUAGGGGAGACUGGAAUUCCUGGUGUAGCGGUGAAAUGCGCAGAUAUCAGGAGGAACACCGGUGGCGAAGGCGGGUCUCUGGGCCGAUACUGACGCUGAGGAGCGAAAGCGUGGGGAGCGAACAGG
rnacentral:rRNA from 1 species